UUCGAUCCAAGAAUCCUCACAAAAAAGUUGUUUCCUUCGGAAACCUUAACGAUCACGGCCAGUUUCCAACAUAGCUCGUCGAACACCUCCAUGACGUCGCCAGGAACUCAAUCAUCGGUCUCGUUUAUAGGAGAAGGGCAAGGCCUAAUCGCUUUCCUAGGGACUCUCUCCACAUUCGCCGCCUCUCCAGUGAUCGAAAACCAACCGUACUUCACGCUAUAAGUGUGGCCAUUACCAGAGAUGAUCUCGGCACAAUGCCAUGCGUCGGUUGGAACCUCCUUCCUGGUUAAUACCUCCACUUUGUUAGCUUUUUUGAAUCUCAUGAUUGACAAAUUUGAUUAAAAAAAAAAGAAUCGCAGGGAUUGUUGAAGGCAAAUUUGUGAAAGAAAUCAAAGAAAGAACCAUUUUGGGAAAAAAGAGUUAAAAUGGAGACUAUAUAGGGGUUCUCGGAUAUCAUUUCCUCCAUGGCUUGAUCAUUUAGCCUUUGCCUAGACUUGGGACUUAGGCUCCCACAAUCAUCGUAUGUAACAUCCCGCCCGAUGUAGUCUAGGGUAUUUGAGUACUGUUUAUAGAAUAAAAUGUUAAAGAACUCGCUAAGUGCUUGAGGACUAUGAGUACGCCCUCGGUGAAUUCCAUAUUAAGGCGAGCCUGGUGGUUGGCGAAGCUCCUUUGCAGAGUACAUAUCACCCCAGUUAAGAGACGAUUAAUGCUUAUUUUUUCGUAUGGUUAGUUUUAUUAUUUUGGUUGAACUAGAUAAUUGACCUGGAGAAGGUUAGUUAGAAUUAGACGAGAUAUUAAUAAAAGAGAGAAAAUUAUUAGUCACAGUUGUCGAAGGAGGGGUAGUGGGGAGAAUGAACUUGCCCACUAAAUUUUUCCCUCGUGCAUGCAUGUAUAAAGUCAGUAUUGGCUUCUUAACCAAACUUUAUGUUUUCCUUGGCAAACUUUACUUUCUCUUUGAA